rnacentral:rRNA from 1 species
AGUUUGAGGAAGUGAUCUCAAAUGAAUUCUGCCCAGUGAUUUUUUUUUUAAAUGGCCGCAGUACCUUGACUGUGCUAAGGUAGCAUAAUCAAUUGGCUUCUAAUUAAAGUCUAGAAUGAAAGGAAAUAUGGAGUAAUUCUAUCUUAAAAGAUUUUUUUUGAAUUUAUUUAAAUGAUGAAAAUAUCAUUUUUUAGAAAAAAGACGAGAAGACCCUUAGAGUUUUAAUUUUAUAAUUUUUGUUGGGGCGACAAGUAAACAUAAAAACUUUACGAUAAUUAUUAAUCGAUUUUUUAAUAAGAAUAAUAAAACUACCUUAGGGAUAACAGCAUUAUAUAUUUUUAUGAUUGUGACCUCGAUGUUGGACUAGGAACUUUAUGGCUAGCCGUCAAAAAAGAUUUGUUCUGUUCGAACAAUUUUAUCCUAC